rnacentral:piRNA from 1 species
UGCUUAUGGCAAACCUCUGUUUCU